UACAGAGGUCUCAAGCGUUGUUCGGAUUCAUUGGGCGUAAAGGGUGUGUAGGUGGCGCCGUAAGUCGGGUGUGAAAUUUCGGAGCUUAACUCCGAAACUGCAUUCGAUACUGCGGUGCUUGAGGACUGGAGAGGAGACUGGAAUUCAUGGUGUAGCAGUGAAAUGCGCAGAUAUCAGGAGGAACACCGGUGGCGAAGGCGGGUCUCUGGGCCGAAACUGACGCUGAGGAGCGAAAGCGUGGGGAGCAAACAGG
rnacentral:rRNA from 1 species